GCUUUUCCAUUUAUAGCUUCGAGAUUCUCUUUUCAGGGUCUGGAUAAAUUUUAGUCAAAGAAAAUGCACUAAACAACAGGAUGUUUUAAUGUGUUUUUAUACUGACCACAAACACUGUUUAUGUUUCGGGUCUUUUCUUCUUCUUUGUUCAUUUCUUUUCUGUUUUAUUUUUUCUUUGCUUUCUGGUCUCUGGGUGAGGAUUCUGUUGUUCAUUCAUGGCAACUGGUGAUGGUGGACAGCAUGAUCAAGCUUCUUCUCACACUACUAUUACAAGGGAGAAUGGAAAGGAUUAUUGCCUAUUAUCAGAGAGAGAAACACUUGCAGAGGCUUCAGUGAAACAUAAGAAAUAUGGCAAACUAUUUUCUUUCUCUGCAUCUAUCCAUGAUUUGAAACAUUCAACUAUGGAAAAGGAGAAACAAGUCCCAUCACCGACAGGAGUUAUAGAAGCCUGCUUAGAAAACGUGGAUUCUGGCUCAGUUUCUCCUGAAAGUUCCCAAAAAGAAUUGGAAGUUGGUGGGUCGAGGGCACGGUCCAACUGGAGUAGAUUCUUCAAAUUAUGGAAAAAAAAAUCACUAAAGCACUUGGCCUCUUUCACUCCUUUACCAACAAGAAAGAGCAGAAGCGCAAGAGAGAACCCAGUCCUGAGAGAUUUGUUUAAGUUCAAGUCUUCCUUGGAGAAUUUUACACUUGCUCAGCUUCAAACUGCAUCAGACAAUUUUAGCCCUGAAAACUUAAUAGGAAAGGGUGGUUUUUCUGAGGUUUACAAGGGCCGUCUGCAAAAUGGAAAGCUAGUAGCAAUAAAGCGACUGACUAAAGGAACUGCUGAUGAAAAGACAACAGGGUUUCUAUCUGAACUUGGCGUCAUGGCUCAUGUUGAUCAUCCUAAUACAGCUAAGUUGCUUGGAUGUGGCAUUGAUGGGGGCAUGUACCUUGUUUUUGAAUUGUCGCCACUGGGGAGUUUAAGAUCUGUUCUUCAUGGUUCAGAAGUCAAACUUGACUGGAGUAAAAGAUAUAAAAUUGCUCUAGGAAUAGCAGAAGGAUUGCUCUAUCUUCAUCGGAGUUGUCGAAAGCGAAUCAUCCAUAGAGAUAUCAAGGUUGAUAAUAUUCUUCUUACAGAAGAUUUUGAGCCUCAGAUUUGUGAUUUU
rnacentral:misc_RNA from 1 species